rnacentral:rRNA from 1 species
CUGCUGCCUCCCGUAGGAGUUUGGACCGUGUCUCAGUUCCAAUGUGGGGGACCUUCCUCUCAGAACCCCUACGCAUCGUCGCCACGGUGGGCCGUUACCCCGCCGUCAAGCUAAUGCGCCGCAUGCCCAGCCGCCACCGGAUUCCUCCUUUCGCCCGGUCCGGAUGCCCGGUCCGGGCGGCAUGGGGUAUUAGGCCGGGUUUCCCCGGGUUAUCCCCCUGUGGCGGGCAGGUUCCAUACGUGUUACUCACCCGUGCGCCGGUCGCCGGCAGGUGCAGGCAAG